AGUUCUUAUAUGUAUGCAGACAAUAAAGUUAGAUACCAUGAAGGAUAAAGUAUGACUAUAAUAAUAAAGGUUCAAAAAGAUUUUUCUUUUUAAGAAAGAUAUUAAGA